GCCAGUGGUGAACUCCACAUACGCAUCCUUUGCUGAGGAUACGGUUAACGGAGCGAAAGCGACGUUCAACCUCAAAAGAAGCAGAGGGGGCUUAGUGGUGGUGUGACUGCGUACCUUUUGUAUAAUGGGUCAGCGACUUAUAUUCUGUAGCAAGGUUAACCGAAUAGGGGAGCCGGAGGGAAACCGAGUCUUAAUUGGGCGUUAAGUUGCAGGGUAUAGACCCGAAACCCGGUGAUCUAGCCAUGGGCAGGUUGAAGGUUGGGUAACACUAACUGGAGGACCGAACCGACUAAUGUUGAAAAAUUAGCGGAUGACCUGUGGCUGGGGGUGAAAGGCCAAUCAAACCGGGAGAUAGCUGGUUCUCCCCGAAAGCUAUUUAGGUAGCGCCUCGUGAAUUCAUCUCCGGGGGUAGAGCACUGUUUCGGCUAGGGGGCCAUCCCGGCUUACCAACCCGAUGCAAACUGCGAAUACCGGAGAAUGUUAUCACGGGAGACACACGGCGGGUGCUAACGUCCGUCGUGAAGAGGGAAACAACCCAGACCGCCAGCUAAGGUCCCAAAGUCAUGGUUAAGUGGGAAACGAUGUGGGAAGGCCCAGACAGCCAGGAUGUUGGCUUAGAAGCAGCCAUCAUUUAAAGAAAGCGUAAUAGCUCACUGGUCGAGUCGGCCUGCGCGGAAGAUGUAACGGGGCUAAACCAUGCACCGAAGCUGCGGCAGCGACGCUGAUGCGUUGUUGGGUAGGGGAGCGUUCUGUAAGCCUGCGAAGGUGUGUCGUGAGGC
rnacentral:rRNA from 1 species